AUCCCGGCGGGAACCCCGGCUGCGGAAGGCGGCUGCGGCCGGCGGGAACCGAGGGGAAGAAUGGAGCGCUGAGGAAGGGAGGCGCCAGCCCCAGCCGCUUCGCUGCCGCGGAGCCUGCACGACCGAGAGGUCGCGGAGAGAAGCCAGAGACAGGCCAGCGACCUGGCGACCCUUCUUCAUGUCUUACCUGUCCUUAUUAUCACGAGCUAUGUGAAAAACCUAAACUCUUUCCAUUUGCAACCCUUUUGGUAUGGUCAAGUCAGUGGAUCUGGCUAUCAUACAAACUCAAAUCAACUACUACAAAUUCAGAUUGGCUGAGCAGAUUCCAGCCAUUUUAAAAACUUGUCUCUGCUCUAUCCUGUAUCUUUCUGCAUUUAGAUGUAACUUCACUGUGGGUGUCCUUACAGUAUAUAUUUUUAUGAGACAUCAAACUUACUAAGAGUACUUGUUAGCUUCUGGUACUACUCUCAUUCUAGCCUCCCUAAUUCUCAUUCUUUUUUGGGGGUUGCAGGGGAGUUCACUGUGCUGUUUGCUAUAUUUCAAGCCUCAAAAGACAAUGAAGUUCCCAAAUGCUCUUCAAGGCAGAACAAAUAUAAAUAAUGAUUCUCACACCAAAUGUGUGCAAAGUUCAAAUAUUGCAUUAAUGGUGCUUUUUAUUGUGCAAAUGAUACGACUAACCCAUCAUGUCCUUUCUGUGUCAGGAAGAACAUGGAUGGGAACAGAAGGAUCUUUGAAAUCCUACCCUCUGUGUAGAUCAGUAUCUGGGAAUUUUUCUCUUGUUAGUACCGAUUUAUUUACUCUUUCUGGUUUAUCUGCUGUUUCCCUUAAAACCUUUAUGAUAAAAACAUAUUUGAAUGCCCA
rnacentral:lncRNA from 1 species